ensembl:lncRNA
CAUGGAAAAAAGAUAAGCUAAAGCCUUGAGAUUUAGCAUUUGAUCAUUAGUACUGCCUCUAAACUAAGAUUUUAGCCAAACUAUUCCACCUUCAUUAGGUCUCAUUUUCCUUAUCUUUUAAAAAUAAGGAUUUUUUUGAUUGAUGAGUGGUCUGGUUUUAUAAAAGUACUUAGCAAUUAUAAUAUAUAUCUGAAUAAUCUUGUAAUAUAUAUCUGAAUAAUCUUGUAAUCCCUCGAAGAAGGCAGUGGCACCCCACUCCAGUGUUCUUGCCUGGAGAAUCCCAGGGACAGGGGAGCCUGGUGGGCUGCCGUCUAUCGGGUCGCACAGAGUCGGACACGACUGAAGCGACUUAGCAGCAGCAGCAGCAGCAAUCUUGUAAUCCCUACCUUAAAAUAAAUAUUUUUCUAUAGAUGAUAAAAUUUCUAAAUUUAUCAGUUAGGUCAUCUAGUACAUGAAUUAAAAAUUUCAUGAUAUAGAUUUUGUCUUAUCACACUAAAGCAUCAUAAUGCACUUUUACCCCACAGAAAGUUUGUAUUGGAAAAUAAGAACAUAGUGGUACAAUCUCUUAACUUUGAGAGAAGUACCAAGUUAGAGUCAAAAUGAAUUAUUCCUUUUUUCUGCUGUGUGGUUCUGUAGGUUGAGGUUGAGAGCAGGCAGGCUGGAAAAGUGCCCUAGGGUGAAUGAAAGGUGGUAUGUUAAUAAAUAAAUGGGCAUGAUACUUCCCAAGUUUAGACAAUACUCAUGUUAAAUGAGAAUUCUAAGUCUGGAUGUAUCCUUGUGGAAAUCUAGAACAGAUAUGAGUCAGAUAUCAUAUGGGAUUAAUAUGUUAUAAAAUAAUAUAUAAAGUAUUGAUCCUCCUGAAUCACUCUCAUUUUCAGGUCAUUAGGAAUUUUGUUGGGAUAAUCCUCCAAAUGAAUUUGAAGCAUUCUAUUCAAAUGGUUAUUUAUCAUUAAAAUGGCAUUGUAAAGUGAUGACUCAGAAGUUAACAGUAAGUCUUAAUUAUUUGAAAGAAGUGUCAUUUUAAUAUUGUACUAUAACAAGUCAUACCAUAUGUGGUAAUUUUUUUUUCCCGUCUAAUUUUGUAUGUUAGUGUAAAGCAUAGAAUGUGACCAGAACUCUUAGACCUCAAAGUAUAUUUUUCAGUGAAGCCAAAAUAUUUUUACUAAACUAUCCUAGUCAAUAAUUUUUGGAUUUGGCAAGUUUCAGUGCAGUCCUGUUUUUGAGAAAAGUCAAUGAAAGUAUUUCCCUUCUAAUUCAAUAACCUUUUUAUCCUGAAACCAUUUUUCCUUUUGGUGCAAAUACUUACAAAGUCAGUAUUUUGACAGUAACAAUAAUAUAUUAUGUUAUUUUUUUCUGUGCUGAAAAUAGUUAAUGAUUAGGCUGGACUUACGCAUCUGUCAGCCAGAAGACCUACUUAUUAAGCCAAAUGAAAUAGGUGUGAUUAAAAUCCUUUCUUUUUUUAUUGAGUUAUAUGACCCUGGUUAGCUAUACAUUUACAUCUAAUAUGUAUAUAUUACUGUUGCUGUUUCAAAUUAUGAAUAUUCAUGUUUUUAAUAAACUAUUUUGAUCACCCAUAUGUUUUCUUCUGAAAUGGAUAUACACCAUAUGCAAUGGAUUGGAGAAAUUCUUUUGCUUUUUCUCAUGAUUCAGUAGAAUAAUUUAAAAUAUCUGUUCUGGAAAAAUUGUCAACCAAUACUUUAAUGAAGUGCAAUUUUAAUGUAACAGAUUUUCUUUCUCUCCUGACAUUAAGAUAUACUUUUUUGCUUAUAAUAUUUCUUAACCAAAGACA